rnacentral:rRNA from 1 species
CCUACGGGCGGCAGCAGUAGGGAAUCUUCCACAAUGGGCGAAAGCCUGAUGGAGCAACGCCGCGUGGGUGAAGAAGGUCUUCGGAUCGUAAAACCCUGUUGUUAGAGACGAAAUUGCGUGAUAGUCACUGUUCACGUUUCGACGGUAUCUAACCAGAAAGCCACGGCUAACUACGUGCCAGCAGCCGCGGUAAUACGUAUGUGGCAAGAGUGAUCCGGCGUUAUUGGGCGUAAAGGGAACGCAGGCGGUCAUUUAAGUCGGAAGUGAAACCCUGCGGCUUAACCGGAGUAGUGCAUUGGAAACUGGGUGACUUGAGUGCAGGAGAGGCGAGUGGAAC